GAUGAACGCUGGCGGCGUGCCUAAUACAUGCAAGUCGAGCGAACGGACGAGAAGCUUGCUUCUCUGAUGUUAGCGGCGGACGGGUGAGUAACACGUGGAUAACCUACCUAUAAGACUGGGAUAACUUCGGGAAACCGGAGCUAAUACCGGAUAAUAUUUUGAACCUCAUGGUUCAAAAGUGAAAGACGGUCUUGCUGUCACCUAUAGAUGGAUCCGCGCUGCAUUAGCUAGUUGGUAAGGUAACGGCUUACCAAGGCAACGAUGCAUAGCCGACCUGAGAGGGUGAUCGGCCACACUGGAACUGAGACACGGUCCAGACUCCUACGGGAGGCAGCAGUAGGGAAUCUUCCGCAAUGGGCGAAAGCCUGACGGAGCAACGCCGCGUGAGUGAUGAAGGUCUUCGGAUCGUAAAACUCUGUUAUUAGGGAAGAACAUAUGUGUAAGUAACUGUGCACAUCUUGACGGUACCUAAUCAGAAAGCCACGGCUAACUACGUG
rnacentral:rRNA from 1 species